CAGCAUUCCAUAGCAUUCCUUUUUUUGAAGUCUCUCAGGGGUGGCUGUCAUUUCUUUUCUAGUUGGCCUUGGAUGGCAUCUAGGAUUUCUCUAUGCAUUUCCCUGAUUCCUCCUCAAUCUGAACCAUUGUAUGUCCUCACUCUCUUUGAAGAAAUCAGGGAGGACUGUCUUUCUCUUUGCACUGUACUACCCGGGUUGCCUUCUUUCUGAUGAUAUACGUAUUUUAUCUAAUUCUAAAUAAUCUCAUAAUAAUCUUCUUACUGGGGUAGCAACAGCAAAGAUGUGCUCCUCUUCUCUAGGACCAUCUCUCAAAUAACUGUUUCUUUUUUUCUGGGAUCAAAUGCUUUACUUCCCUGAGAGACCAUCUGUCAACUACAGCCAGGAUUUCUUGAUUGGCCCAUGUGUUGCUCCAUUCUGGCCUGUCUGUGAACAUUCAACACUUUGGCAGACUCUGUGCUCCAAUAUUAUCAGGGAUAUGCACACUAUUGCCUCUGAGACAUUUGGCACUUCUUUGAGAGGGUGACACAUAGGAAAUAUAACCAAUUGAUUUCUAACUUUGCUUUUAGUUUCUUGAGACAGGUUCUCUCUCCAUAACCCUGCAUGUUCAGGAACUAACUAUGUUGAUCAGGCUAGCCUUGAAUUCACAAACAUCAGCCUGCCUCUACCUCUAACACUAUCUCUGCCUCUGCCUAUGGCUCUACCUCUGCAAUUACCCUGGCCCUGGCCCUGGCCCUGGCCCUGGCCCUGGCCAUAACUCAAGAGUGUUGAGACGAAAAGAACAAUCCCACAAACAAAUAGAUUAAAGUUUCUUUCUAUCUAUGUGCAUAUCCAGGUUUCCCAGCAUGACUGGAUGAAGAGGUCAUGUGGAAGCCAAGUGGUGCAAACGGAGACUUCCCUGGGAAUCGCACCUCAAGCCAGAGACUCCAUCAGCUGCAGAAUGGAACUCUGCUACUCCUACACCCUGGAUUACCAGAUGAGGACACCACCUGUUAAUGGGCACAAGUCAUUAACUACCCUCAACCGCAACCUUCAGAAUUCCUGGCAUUGCCACAAGCUCCAUGCCUGGAACAAACAGAGAAUGACAACCUGCAUGAGAUGGCAGGAAAUCUGUCAGUACUUCUGGAUGCCUAUGAGUGCAC